AACAUAAGCGCCAGCGUGGUCGUCUUCUGCAUCAGUGGGGGGAAGAUUCCCCGGUACAAGUUGCGGAACCCAUCCUUCCUCAACUGCAGGAUGGCGUCCCAGGUUUUGAUGCGGUACAGCUGCUGCCGGAAGAAGAUCUUCUGAACGGGGUCCAACCUGUUUUUUAGCAGUCACAGAAGCAUCGCAUUGAUGGUGUCGGACAAAGAUGAUAGAGAAAUGUUAGAGAAAGCAUAAUUGAGAAUUUCUUCCAUUUACUCUUCACCAGAAAGUCAAAUUUCUGUAGAAUCACCGUGAUCAAGAUCAAUAAUUGUAGAAAGGAUCUUAGUGGAGUCUGAAUGAACUUACAAUGAAUGUCAACAGAAUUGUUGGACUGAAGAAACCAUCAUUAAAGAUAAUUUAUGGGGCUCAUUCCCGUGAAAGCCGACAUAAAUAAUUUCUUCUACAAUUGUACUGUGGUUUUACAAAACAAUCAUUUUCAUUUAUUGUUAAUUACAUUGUGCAUGUGUUUGUUCUGUCAAAAAAAUGAAAACAGAAUUAUGAACUAUUAGAUGCUUUUGUCUCCUGAACUCCAUUCUCCUGUCCCCAUAGGAACAACAAUAUCAACCAACCAGACCCCCCCAAGAGCUCUCAGGGACUAAACUACCAUCUAAAGUGUACACAUUGAGGGACUCAGGGCUCCAGUCACAUAUAUAGCAGAGGAUGGCAUUGUCUGGCAUCAACAGGAGGAGAAGCCCUUGGUCCUGUGAAGGCUCAUUUCCCCAGUGUAGGGGGAACCCCAACAUGAUAAUUGGAUCAAUGUUUCUAAAGUUUACAUCACAACAAAAAAAUGAAAUGGAGAAGGAAAGAGCCACAGAAAACUAG
ensembl:lncRNA